UACGUAGGCAGCGAGCGUUGUUCGGAGUUACUGGGCGUAAAGGGUGUGUAGGCGGUUGCUUAAGUUUGGUGUGAAAUCUCCCGGCUCAACUGGGAGGGUGCGCCGAAUACUGAGUGACUCGAGUGCGGGAGAGGAGAGUGGAAUUCCUGGUGUAGCGGUGAAAUGCGUAGAUAUCAGGAGGAACACCGGUGGUGUAGACGGCUCUCUGGACCGUAACUGACGCUGAGACACGGAAGCGUGGGUAGCAAACAGG
rnacentral:rRNA from 1 species